AGAAGUGUGGAGAGUCCUACUU
rnacentral:siRNA from 1 species